UUAACCCGUGUUGGGCAGCCGUAGCGAAAGCGAGUCUGAAUGGGGCGAUUCAGUCGCAUGUCCUAGACCCGAAGCGAAGUGAUCUAUCCAUGGCCAGGUUGAAGCGACGGUAAGACGUCGUGGAGGACCGAACCCACUUCAGUUGAAAAUGGAGGGGAUGAGCUGUGGAUAGGGGUGAAAGGCCAAUCAAACUUCGUGAUAGCUGGUUCUCUCCGAAAUGCAUUUAGGUGCAGCGUUGCGUGUUUCUCGCCGGAGGUAGAGCUACUGGAUGGCCGAUGGGCCUCAACAGGUUACUGACGUCAGCCAAACUCCGAAUGCCGGUGAGUGAGAGCGCAGCAGUGAGACGGUGGGGGAUAAGCUUCAUCGUCGAGAGGGAAACAACCCAGACU
rnacentral:rRNA from 1 species